ACUAUGAAAACCGGUGGAGAGGUUGGAACACAACAAUUGAGGAGCAGAAGUCAGAUUUCGAGAAGUUGCAGGACUUGCUAACUUCAAUGUGCUUCAAAUUGUACAAUAAGAAGGGUGAUAUUGCUGUGUGGCAGAAGGGUUCUGAUGACUCUUGCUAUAAGAAGCUUGAAAGGGUUCUGAUGAAUCUUGCUAUAAGAAGCUUGCUAAUCCUGAUGUCUAUCCACCCAAGUGUGAUGACAGCAUCGAACCAGAUUCGGCUUGGUACACCCCACUCCGACCCUGUGUUGUAGCUCCGGGGCCAAAGAUAAAGAAGUCGGUUCUUGAAUCGAUCCCCAAAUGGCCAGAGAGGUUGCAAGU
rnacentral:lncRNA from 1 species